AACGAACGCUGGCGGCGUGCUUAACACAUGCAAGUCGAACGCGAAAGGGACUUCGGUCCUGAGUAAAGUGGCGCACGGGUGAGUAACGCGUAGAUAACCUGUCUUCAUGUCUGGAAUAAUACGCCGAAAGGGGUACUAAUACCGGAUAUUCUUGCUUUUCAUAAGUUAUGCAAGCAAAGGUGGCCCUUUUGCAUAUGCUACUGCAUGAAGAGGGGUCUGCGUACCAUUAGCUAGUAGGUGGGGUAAUGGCCUACCUAGGCGACGAUGGUUAGCGGGUCUGAGAGGAUGAUCCGCCACACUGGCACUGGAACACGGGCCAGACUCCUACGGGAGGCAGCAGUGAGGAAUAUUGCGCAAUGGGGGAAACCCUGACGCAGCGACGCCGCGUGAGUGAGGAAAGGCCUUCGGGUCGUAAAGCUCUGUCAAGAGGAAAGAAGUGUACAAUGGCUAAUACCUGUUGUAUUUGACGGUACCUCUAAAGGAAGCACCGGCUAACUCCGUGCCAGCAGCUGC
rnacentral:rRNA from 1 species